rnacentral:rRNA from 1 species
ACGUAGGGUGCGAGCGUUAAUCGGAAUUACUGGGCGUAAAGCGUGCGCAGGCGGUUGUGCAAGACAGAUGUGAAAUCCCCGGGCUCAACCUGGGAACUGCAUUUGUGACUGCACGACUGGAGUGCGGUAGAGGGGUGUGGAAUUCCGGGUGUAGUGGUGUAAUGCGUAGAGAUGUGGAGGAACACCGAUGGCGAAGGCAGCCCCCUGGGUCGACACUGACGCUCAUGCACGAAAGCGUGGGGAGCAAACAG